AUGAACGCUGGCGGCGUGCCUAAUCCAUGCAAGUCGAGCGAACAGACGAGGAGCUUGCUCCUCUGACGUUAGCGGCGGACGGGUGAGUAACACGUGGAUAACCUACCUAUAAGACUGGGAUAACUUCGGGAAACCGGAGCUAAUACCGGAUAAUAUAUUGAACCGCAUGGUUCCAUAGUGAAAGACGGUUUUGCUGUCACUUAUAGAUGGAUCCGCGCCGCAUUAGCUAGUUGGUAAGGUAACGGCUUACCAAGGCGACGAUGCGUAGCCGACCUGAGAGGGUGAUCGGCCACACUGGAACUGAGACACGGUCCAGACUCCUACGGGAGGCAGCAGUAGGGAAUCUUCCGCAAUGGGCGAAAGCUUGACGGAGCAACGCCGCGUGAGUGAUGAAGGUCUUCGGAUCGUAAAACUCUGUUAUUAGGGAAGAACAAAUGUGUAAGUAACUAUGCACGUCUUGACGGUACCUAAUCAGAAAGCCACGGCUAACUACGUG
rnacentral:rRNA from 1 species